rfam:Pteropus alecto contig37070, whole genome shotgun sequence.
AGACUUGCAGGAAUCACAAUAACAGAGUGGGUAGCCUCACUGAGAUCUUAGUUUGACACUGAACCAGAGAGAACAAGUGUCUGGGUCUUUCUCCCACAGGG